rnacentral:rRNA from 1 species
NAACCAACAGGGAUUGCCUCAGUAACGGCGAGUGAAGCGGCAAGAGCUCAAAUUUGAAAUCGGGGCUUUAUGGCGUCGAGUUGUAGUUUGAAGGGAGGUCUUUGUGGACCGGGUUACCAGCGAUGUUCCUUGGAAGAGGACGCGAGACAAGGUGAAAGCCCUGUAGCUGGUAAAUCCAUACACGUAUAAGGGCCUUCCGAAGAGUCGAGUUGUUUGGGAAUGCAGCUCUAAGUGGGUGGUAAACUCCAUCUAAAGCUAAAUACUAGCGAGAGACCGAUAGCGAACAAGUACAGUGAUGGAAAGAUGAAAAGAACUUUGAAAAGAGAGUGAAAGAGUGCGUGAAAUUGUUGAAAGGGAAGGAUAUUAGGUGAGGCGGGGGCGUGUUGCUGUGCGGAGUUUCUUGUGGACUCUGGUUAAGCGCAUGUCCAGGCCGGUGUGGGUGGUGAGAGGGAGAUGAAGAUGUAUCCUUGAGCGUAGCUCACGAGUGCAGAAAGGCUCCGUUUCGCCACCAUGGACAGACGACACCGACACAAUGACCUAACAUCGC